UACCAUGCAAGUCGAGCGGAAGGCCCUUCGGGGUACUCGAGCGGCGAACGGGUGAGUAACACGUGAGCAACCUGCCCCUGACUCUGGGAUAAGCCCGGGAAACUGGGUCUAAUACCGGAUAUGACCGCCCCUGGCAUCGGGUGGUGGUGGAAAGUUUUUCGGUUGGGGAUGGGCUCGCGGCCUAUCAGCUUGUUGGUGGGGUAGUGGCCUACCAAGGCGACGACGGGUAGCCGGCCUGAGAGGGCGACCGGCCACACUGGGACUGAGACACGGCCCAGACUCCUACGGGAGGCAGCAGUGGGGAAUAUUGCGCAAUGGGCGGAAGCCUGACGCAGCGACGCCGCGUGGGGGAUGACGGCCUUCGGGUUGUAAACCUCUUUCAGCAGGGACGAAGUUGACGUGUACCUGCAGAAGAAGCGCCGGCUAACUACGUGCCAGCAGCCGCGGUAAUACGUAGGGCGCAAGCGUUGUCCGGAAUUAUUGGGCGUAAAGAGCUCGUAGGUGGCUGGUCGCGUCUGCCGUGAAAGCCCGCAGCUUAACUGCGGGUCUGCGGUGGAUACGGGCCGGCUAGAGGUAGGUAGGGGCAAGUGGAAUUCCUGGUGUAGCGGUGAAAUGCGCAGAUAUCAGGAGGAACACCGGUGGCGAAGGCGGCUUGCUGGGCCUUACCUGACGCUGAGGAGCGAAAGCGUGGGGAGCGAACAGGAUUAGAUACCCUGGUAGUCCACGCUGUAAACGUUGGGCGCUAGGUGUGGGACCCUUCCACGGGUUCCGUGCCGGAGCUAACGCAUUAAGCGCCCCGCCUGGGGAGUACGGCCGCAAGGCUAAAACUCAAAGGAAUUGACGGGGGGCCCGCACAAGCGGCGGAGCAUGUUGCUUAAUUCGACGCAACGCGAAGAACCCUUACCAAGGGUUUGACAUCACCCGGGACAGGUCUAGAGAUAGAUCCUUUCUUCGGACUGGGUGACAGGUGGUGCAUGGCUGUCGUCAGCUCGUGUCGUGAGAUGGUGGAUAGUCCCGCAACGAGCGCACCGUGCUCAAUGGUGCAGCACACAUUGUGUUGGGGACUCAUGAGAACUGCCGGAUCACUCGGAGGAUGUAGAUGACGUCAGUCAUCAUGCCUUAGUCCUGC
rnacentral:rRNA from 1 species